CAAUGGGCGCAAGCCUGAUGGAGCAACACCGCGUGAGUGAAGAAGGGUUUCGGCUCGUAAAGCUCUGUUGUUAAAGAAGAACACGUAUGAGAGUAACUGUUCAUACGUUGACGGUAUUUAACCAGAAAGUCACGGCUAACUACGUGCCAGCAGCCGCGGUAAUACGUAGGUGGCAAGCGUUAUCCGGAUUUAUUGGGCGUAAAGAGAGUGCAGGCGGUUUUCUAAGUCUGAUGUGAAAGCCUUCGGCUUAACCGGAGAAGUGCAUCGGAAACUGGAUAACUUGAGUGCAGAAGAGGGUAGUGGAACUCCAUGUGUAGCGGUGGAAUGCGUAGAUAUAUGGAAGAACACCAGUGGCGAAGGCGGCUACCUGGUCUGCAACUGACGCUGAGACUCGAAAGCAUGGGUAGCGAACAGGAUUAGAUACCCUGGUAG
rnacentral:rRNA from 1 species